rnacentral:rRNA from 1 species
GAUGAACGCUGGCGGCGUGCUUAACACAUGCAAGUCGAGCGAAGCACUUAAGUCUGAUUCUUCGGAUGAAGACUUUUGUGACUGAGCGGCGGACGGGUGAGUAACGCGUGGGUAACCUGCCUCAUACAGGGGGAUAACAGUUAGAAAUGACUGCUAAUCCCGCAUAAGACCACGGUACCGCAUGGUACAGUGGUAAAAACUCCGGUGGUAUGAGAUGGACCCGCGUCUGAUUAGGUAGUUGGUGGGGUAACGGCCUACCAAGCCGACGAUCAGUAGCCGACCUGAGAGGGUGACCGGCCACAUUGGGACUGAGACACGGCCCAGACUCCUACGGGAGGCAGCAGUGGGGAAUAUUGCACAAUGGAGGAAACUCUGAUGCAGCGACGCCGCGUGAAGGAUGAAGUAUUUCGGUAUGUAAACUUCUAUCAGCAGGGAAGAAAAUGACGGUAC